UUUAUUUUGGGAAGGAGCCUUCCAUCUCUUUUUGGCGCGCGGGAACCGAGGAAAUGGUUAACCGUGUGAAGGACAUAUUAAUUUUUGUGGGCUCGGCGAUGUUUCGUCAAUCACGAAUGCGGAACAAGCUGGACUAGGUCAGCCAAACACAGGGAGGAGAAGAACUCGCCCCGCAAGCCGAAGAAUGUGAAUAAGUGAGGAUGAUGAGCCAAGACCGCGACAUUGAAGGCCAAUUCGGGGGCUACCGAGGGAGUCCAGGAAUAAGGGGUCCUCGCGCCACUGACCUGUUUCCGCGGGCUGGACUCCUGGG
rnacentral:lncRNA from 1 species